rnacentral:rRNA from 1 species
AUUGAACGCUGGCGGCAGGCCUAAUACAUGCAAGUCGAACGAGUGGCGGACGGGUGAGUAAUGUCUGGGAAACUGCCUGACGGAGGGGGAUAACUACUGGAAACGGUAGCUAAUACCGCAUACCAUCGGAUGUGCCCAGAUGGGAUUAGCUAGCAGGUGGGGUAAAGGCUCACCUAGGCGACGAUCCCUAGCUGGUCUUAGAGGAUGACCGGCCACACUGGGACUGAGACACGGGCCAGACUCCUACGGGAGGCAGCAGUGGGGAAUAUUGCGCAAUGGGCGCAAGCCUGAUGCAGCCAUGCCGCGUGUAUGAAGAAGGCCUUCGGGUUGUAAAGUACUUUCAGCGGAGAAGCGUUACCCGCAGAAGAAGCACCGGCUAACUCCGUGCCAGCAGCCGCGGUAAUUC